CCUACGGGUAGCUGCAGUCGAGAAUCAUUCACAAUGGGGGAAACCCUGAUGGUGCGACGCCGCGUGGGGGAAUGAAGGUCUUCGGAUUGUAAACCCCUGUCAUGUGGGAGCAAAUUAAAAAGAUAUUCCCACAAAAGGAAACGACGGCUAACUCUGUCCCAGCAGCCGCGGUAAUACAGAGGUCUCAGGCGUUUUUCGGAAUCCCUGGGCGGAAAGCGUGCGUAGGCGGUUUCGUAAGUCGUGUGUGAAAGGCGCGGGCUAACCCCGCGGACGGCACAUGAUACUGAGAGACUAGAGUAAUGGAGGGGGAACCGGAAUUCUCGGUGUAGCAGUGAAAUGCGUAGAUAUCGAGAGGAACACUCGUGGCGAAGGCGGGUUCCUGGACAUUAACUGACGCUGAGGCACGAAGGCCAGGGGAGCGAAAGGGAUUAGAUACCCUUGUAGUC
rnacentral:rRNA from 1 species